AAAAAUAACAUGAGGAAUAGCUUUUGUCCCAAUGUAGCUCAGGUUGCAUCUCUUUUGGUCAACACCUGUAAAUCAUCUUUACUACUUAUGGAAUUUGGAAACAAUUCGGUCUGCUAUUGAUCUAAAUAUUUUCAUCUUACAGGUCUUCCUUUGAUAACAGUGGAUGAUGACUCUGCUCUUCUGCCCAAGAGUGGUUCAAAAUAGAAAUGUAUGUCUGCAAAUGUCAAAACUGGGACUUGCUGGAUGUCACCAAAUUAAAUCCUGGGGAAAAGAAAAUUGGAAAGAAGACAUUUCCUGGAGAAAUUUGAAUCUGAAAACUACAUUUACAGGCUUUGCUGUUGUCUUAAGUUUUGGACAGUUUUUAC
rnacentral:lncRNA from 1 species